GGCGUAUUCUGUCGUAACCGGUUAAAUCGAAUUGCCAAGGUUGGGGUCGAGGGUUCGAAUCCCUUCGCCCGCUCCA
rnacentral:tRNA from 1 species